GGGCCUGUAGUUCAGCUGGCUAGAACACCUCAUUUGCAAUGAGGAGGUCGGCGGUUCGAUCCCGCCCAGGUCCACCA
rnacentral:tRNA from 1 species